GACGAAGGAUGCAAGCGUUAUCCGGAUUCAUUGGGUUUAAAGGGAGCGUAGGUGGCCUUGUAAGUCAGUGGUGAAAUCCUGUCGCUUAACGAUAGAAUUGCCAUUGAUACUGCAGGGCUUGAGUACAGUUGCCGUUGGCCGGAAUAUGACAUGUAGUGGUGAAAUACAUAGAUAUGUCAUAGAACACCGAUUGCGAAGGCAGCUGACGAAACUGUAACUGACACUGAGGCUCGAAAGUGUGGGGAUCAAA
rnacentral:rRNA from 1 species